rnacentral:rRNA from 1 species
AUUGAACGCUGGCGGCAGGCCUAACACAUGCAAGUCGAGCGGAUGAAGGGAGCUUGCUCCUGGAUUCAGCGGCGGACGGGUGAGUAAUGCCUAGGAAUCUGCCUGGUAGUGGGGGAUAACGUCCGGAAACGGGCGCUAAUACCGCAUACGUCCUGAGGGAGAAAGUGGGGGAUCUUCGGACCUCACGCUAUCAGAUGAGCCUAGGUCGGAUUAGCUAGUUGGUGGGGUAAAGGCCUACCAAGGCGACGAUCCGUAACUGGUCUGAGAGGAUGAUCAGUCACACUGGAACUGAGACACGGUCCAGACUCCUACGGGAGGCAGCAGCGGGGAAUAUUGGACAAAGGGCGAAAGCCUGAUCCAGCCAUGCCGCGUGUGUGAAGAAGGUCUUCGGAUUGUAAAGCACUUUAAGUUGGGAGGAAGGGCAGUAAGUUAAUACCUUGCUGUUUUGACGUUACCAACAGAAUAAGCACCGGCUAACUUCGUG